UACGGAGGGUGCCAGCGUUAUCCGGAUUCACUGGGUUUAAAGGGUGCGUAGGAGGGCAGGUAAGUCAGUGGUGAAAUCUUCGAGCUUAACUCGGAAACUGCCGUUGAUACUAUCUGUCUUGAAUACCGUGGAGGUGAGCGGAAUAUGUCAUGUAGCGGUGAAAUGCUUAGAUAUGACAUAGAACACCAAUUGCGAAGGCAGCUCGCUACACGAAUAUUGACUCUGAGGCACGAAAGCGUGGGGAUCAAACAGG
rnacentral:rRNA from 1 species